rnacentral:rRNA from 1 species
GAUGUAAUUGAUCAUGGCUCAGAUUGAACCCGCUGGCNUNGCAANGCCUAACACAUGCAAGUCGAGCGGAUGACGGGAGCUUGCUCCUUGAUUCAGCGGCGGACGGGUGAGUAAUGCCUAGGAAUCUGCCUGGUAGUGGGGGACAACGUUUCGAAAGGAGCGCUAAUACCGCAUACGUCCUACGGGAGAAAGCAGGGGACCUUCGGGCCUUGCGCUAUCAGAUGAGCCUAGGUCGGAUUAGCUAGUUGGUGAGGUAAUGGCUCACCAAGGCGACGAUCCGUAACUGGUCUGAGAGGAUGAUCAGUCACACUGGAACUGAGACACGGUCCAGACUCCUACGGGAGGCAGCAGUGGGGAAUAUUGGACAAUGGGCGAAAGCCUGAUCCAGCCAUGCCGCGUGUGUGAAGAAGGUCUUCGGAUUGUAAAGCACUUUAAGUUGGGAGGAAGGGCAGUAAGUUAAUACCUUGCUGUUUUGACGUUACCGACAGAAUAAGCACCGGCUAACUCUGUGCCAGCAGCCGCGGUAAUACAGAGGGUGCAAGCGUUAAUCGGGAAUUACUGGGCGUAAAGCGCGCGUAGGUGGUUUGUUAAGUUGGAUAGUGAAGCCCGGGGCUCNACCUGGGACUGCUCCAAACUGGCAGGCUAAAUUCCGUAAAGGUGUGGAUUCUGUUACGGGUGAAUUGCGUAAUUUGGAGGAACCCUGG